AGGCUUGACAACUGAGCCACCCAAGCACCCCAGAUAAUGUAUUUUAAAUCUAUCAUCCAUCCAUCCAUCUUAUCUACCCACUUAACCAUCUGUCCAUCUAGCUAUCAAUCACAGGUUACCCUGUAAAGUUUGGCAGGAAUUAUCUUCUAUUUAGUCAUAUUUAUAUAUGUGCUGAAGUGACUCAAACUGUAAUUGGAGGACGAGCAAACACCUGUCAUGCUGAAGGUUACAAAACUGAAUAUGCAGGAAUGAUUCGCUUACUCCUGAGACUGGCCUAUUCCCAGUUCAGUGGACUUUGAAGAGUAGAUACAAUGCUUUUCUUUUCCGAGAGCAGCAAGUUAGCCCCCCGGAACCAGCAUGUCAUUAGAGCGUCAGUGAUGGAUUUGACUUUAACGUAUUUUCCCAGAAAGCUGUACUUUCUACAAAAUCUGUUAAAAUUUCUGAUUGUUGGGUUCAGCGAGGAAAAACCCUGCUGCUAAAGCCCUCCUCCGACGAGCCCGUAUUUGCGGUUAGAAUGUUCUUUCAGACUCAGGAAUGUCUGUAUGUUCAAGCAGGGUUGCCAUGGUGCUGUGGGACAUGAGGUGGCAAACCCCACACCAGAGUUAGAGAUGCGUAGUGCUCGGGGUACAGAUUACGGGAAGUACAACUCGCCAGAAGUCCCAGGCGAGAGGCUGAGCGGAAUGUCUUAAUCCGAAGAGGAAGAGCUCCACUCCAAGCUUAUCCUUUGAACUCCCGUUGAAGACCCCAAAGGCAAAACAUCCUGAACUACCCCCUCAAGCAAUAACAACCACCAUGAGCUAGCAAGACCCCAUAGGAUUGACCCCAAGAUGACGAUCAGCCUGACCUUUACUGCAUUACCCAUUGGCCUUUGUCCCAUAUUUUCUUUAAAUAACUUUCAGCACUUUGGAGACCAUCUUUGAGAUGUUAAUCCACUGUCUUCCUGCAGUGGCCUCACAGGAAUAAACUUCUUUCUGGUUUCA